GAUCAGAGCUAGAUUUAAAGGUGUGAUCAGGACUAGAUUUAAAGGUGUGAUCAGGGCUAGAUUUAAAGGUGUGAUCAGGACUAGAUUUAAAGGUGUGAUCAGAGCUAGAUUUAAAGGUGUGAUCAGAGCUAGAUUUAAAGGUGUGAUCAGGGCUAGAUUUAAAGGUGUGAUCAGAGCUAGAUUUAAAGGUGUGAUCAGAGCUAGAUUUAAAGGUGUGAUCAGGACUAGAUUUAAAGGUGUGAUCAGGGCUAGAUUUAAAGGUGUGAUCAGGACUAGAUUUAAAGGUGUGAUCAGAGCUAGAUUUAAAGGUGUGAUCAGAGCUAGAUUUAAAGGUGUGAUCAGAGCUAGAUUUAAAGGUGUGAUCAGGACUAGAUUUAAAGGUGUGAUCAGAGCUAGAUUUAAAGGUGUGAUCAGAGCUAGAUUUAAAGGUGUGAUCAGGGCUAGAUUUAAAGGUGUGAUCAGAGCUAGAUUUAAAGGUGUGAUCAGAGCUAGAUUUAAAGGUGUGAUCAGAGCUAGAUUUAAAGGUGUGAUCGGGGCUAGAUUUAAAGGUGUGAUCAGAGCUAGAUUUAAAGGUGUGAUCAGAGCUAGAUUUAAAGGUGUGAUCAGAGCUAGAUUUAAAGGUGUGAUCAGGGUGAGACUGAAGAGGAUGAGGAGGCAGUAAGGGUUUGGAGGAUGAACAGUCAGUCCACAUUACUCUGUUCUGGUCCAGUCCGAUCCAAUAGAAG